rnacentral:piRNA from 1 species
ACUGUGCCCGCUGAUGGCCACCAGG